rnacentral:rRNA from 1 species
CACGUAGGGGGCAAGCGUUGUCCGGAUUUAUUGGGCGUAAAGAGCUCGUAGGUGGUUUGUCGCGUUGUUCGUGAAAUCUCACGGCUCAACCCCGGACUUGCAGUGGGUACGGGCAGACUAGAGUGUGGUAGGGGAGACUGGAAUUCCUGGUGUAGCGGUGAAAUGCGCAGAUAUCAGGAGGAACACCGGUGGCGAAGGCGGGUCUCUGGGCCGAUACUGACGCUGAGGAGCGAAAGCGUGGGGAGCGAACAGG